rnacentral:rRNA from 1 species
UACGGAAUGUGCAAACGUUAUUCGGCCUCACUGGGCUUAAAGAGUCCGUAGGCGGCUUGUUAGGUGAGGUGUGAAAGCCCUCGGCCCAACCGAGGAAUUGCGCUUCAAACCGGCGAGCUAGAGGAGGAUAGAGGUGGGCGGAACUGAUGGUGGAGCGGUGAAAUGCGUUGAUAUCAUCAGGAACACCGGAGGCGAAAGCGGUCCACUGGGUCCUUUCUGACGCUGAGGGACGAAAGCUAGGGGAGCGAACGGG